rnacentral:tRNA from 1 species
AAAUGGGCAGUAGGCCCGGCAAAAACGGGCUGCCCUGGGCUUAGGACCCUGUGGCGAAGGCCUUCGUGGGUUCGAAUCCCACCCCCCGCACCA